GCGGCUUCUCAGACGUGCGCUUUUCGUGUGAUGCUCACGGGAAAUACACACACACACGCACGCACGCUCCAUUCAUUCAUAACUUCGGGCUAAGCACGAGGAUCGUGCUGCACGAACACAACACAAACACGCAUGACAUUUGCGGCUUCGCAGACGUUGCAUUUUGGUUUGAUGCUUGCUGCUGCGUUCGAUUUAGGAAUGCAGGUGGUAGCAGGUGGUGCUCUUGGGGAAUUACGCGCAACAUACACAGCCACCAUUCUUUCGGAACUUCGGGCUAAGCACGGGGUUUAUGCUGCACAAACAGAACAACGGCGUACCGCACGAAGACAGCUGUAACAAUCAUCGUACAAUCGCGUAUGCAACGACUACGAACAGCUGUUGCCCCGUCAACAUAGUGCUGUCCUUAAAGUGACGGCGGUGACGGGCCUCCUCACCUAGUUUUAUAAUUACUUCGGUUACUUGUGCCUAUAAAUUACAAACCACUCGUGUUAUUCGCUCCUGUUGAUGAAAAGUUAACAGUAUAAUGAUGAUUUAAACAACAACUUUAAAAACAAUUUGUCAUGUUUGCGGCUGUUACUUUUAACAAGCGGUAGGUAGCGCUGCGCUUCUUCCUUUUUUUUUUUUUUCCCGCGCCCCAUGGAGAAAAAAAAAAUGGCUCGACACUUUUGUGUUUCUUCACGCAGCAACGUGAUCGGCGUGUUUUCGAUGAUCUCGACGCUCAGCAAGAUCCAUUGUGCAGUGUUAAGUUCAGAAAUGUUUUCCUCAUCGUAUGCAGCAGUGAAUUCUCUUGUGCGCUUCGUCGUUUCCGCCCGCUGGAUAUCGACGAUUUUGACAAAGAACUCUACGAAGUCUUGCGGGCUGGCGAGGAAAACGGCAGCACCCACUUACUGCACAUGAGCCAAACUGAGGAAGGGAUGGAGGAGGCGUGAGUCGAACAACCGACGUGUGCAGCGGAAACUCGGCGAUGCUCAACUGGGACCGGGAUCACGAAAAAACACCUUUACCUCGAGGCGAAAAAGUGUCCCCUGCAGGACCUCCAGAAGAAACACCAGUCCCCGCAACGGUACCUUGCACAAGAAUGUGCCAACCUGCACUAUUAAUCCAGCUAGGUUUUCAUGGACAUUUUCAUUAAUUUUAUUGCCCUUGAAGUUAUUAAAGUGCUAAUUUGUUUUAAAAAUGAGUACGUGUCAACUUCACUUAAGAGGUUCCAUGUAAAUGUGCAUGGGAAAGUGUGCAGAUGUGUGCAUUUUUAAAAUCCAGUUGCUACCCUCAGCACUGCAUAGAUAAACUUAUUGCUAGUGAAGCUGCAAGAAAUUUCUUUUCAUUUGUUUUGCUC